AGAGUUUGAUCAUGGCUCAGGAUGAACGCUGGCGGCGUGCCUAACACAUGCAAGUCGCACGGGGGGAGCAAUCCUUCAGUGGCGCACGGGUGAGGAACACGUAGCUGACCUGCCCCGAAGAGCGGGAUAACGGUUCGAAAGGACUGCUAAUACCGCAUAAGCUCACAUUGAUUAAAUAGGUGUGAGAAAAGGCGUAAGCCGUUUCGGGAGGGGGCUGCGACCCAUCAGGUAGUUGGUAAGGUAACGGCUCACCAAGCCGACGACGGGUAACGGGUCUGAGAGGAUGAUCCGUCACACUGGGACUGAGACACGGCCCAGACUCCUACGGGAGGCAGCAGUGAGGAAUAUUGCACAAUGGGCGCAAGCCUGAUGCAGCGACGCCGCGUGGGUGAUGAAGGCUUUCGGGUCGUAAAACCCUUUUCUGUGUGACGAGCAAGGACGGUAGCACAGGAAUAGCUCCGGCCUUUCC
rnacentral:rRNA from 1 species